rnacentral:tRNA from 1 species
GAUGAGGUCAGCUAACUAAGCUAUCGGGCCCAUACCCCGAACAUGACGGUUAAAACCCCUCCCCCAUCA